rnacentral:rRNA from 1 species
GGGUUGUGAGGUUAAGCGACUAAGCGUACACGGUGGAUGCCUUGGCAGUCAGAGGCGAUGAAGGACGUGCUAAUCUGCGAUAAGCGUCGGUAAGGUGAUAUGAACCGUUAUAACCGGCGAUUUCCGAAUGGGGAAACCCAGUGUGAUUCGUCACACUAUCAUUAACUGAAUCCAUAGGUUAAUGAGGCGAACCGGGGGAACUGAAACAUCUAAGUACCCCGAGGAAAAGAAAUCAACCGAGAUUCCCCCAGUAGCGGCGAGCGAACGGGGAGCAGCCCAGAGCCUGAAUCAGUGUGUGUGUUAGUGGAAGCGUCUGGAAAGGCGUGCGAUACAGGGUGACAGCCCCGUACACAAAAAUGCACAUACUGUGAGCUCGAUGAGUAGGGCGGGACACGUGGUAUCCUGUCUGAAUAUGGGGGGACCAUCCUCCAAGGCUAAAUACUCCUGACUGACCGAUAGUGAACCAGUACCGUGAGGGAAAGGCGAAAAGAACCCCGGCGAGGGGAGUGAAAAAGAACCUGAAACCGUGUACGUACAAGCAGUGGGAGCACGCUUAGGCGUGUGACUGCGUACCUUUUGUAUAAUGGGUCAGCGACUUAUAUUCUGUAGCAAGGUUAACCGAAUAGGGGAGCCGAAGGGAAACCGAGUCUUAACUGGGCGUUAAGUUGCAGGGUAUAGACCCGAAACCCGGUGAUCUAGCCAUGGGCAGGUUGAAGGUUGGGUAACACUAACUGGAGGACCGAACCGACUAAUGUUGAAAAAUUAGCGGAUGACUUGUGGCUGGGGGUGAAAGGCCAAUCAAACCGGGAGAUAGCUGGUUCUCCCCGAAAGCUAUUUAGGUAGCGCCUCGUGAAUUCAUCUCCGGGGGUAGAGCACUGUUUCGGCAAGGGGGUCAUCCCGACUUACCAACCCGAUGCAAACUGCGAAUACCGGAGAAUGUUAUUACGGGAGACACACGGCGGGUGCUAACGUCCGUCGUGAAGAGGGAAACAACCCAGACCGCCAGCUAAGGUCCCAAAGUCAUGGUUAAGUGGGAAACGAUGUGGGAAGGCCCAGACAGCCAGGAUGUUGGCUUAGAAGCAGCCAUCAUUUAAAGAAAGCGUAAUAGCUCACUGGUCGAGUCGGCCUGCGCGGAAGAUGUAACGGGGCUAAACCAUGCACCGAAGCUGCGGCAGCGACGCUUAUGCGUUGUUGGGUAGGGGAGCGUUCUGUAAGCCUGUGAAGGUGUGCUGUGAGGUAUGCUGGAGGUAUCAGAAGUGCGAAUGCUGACAUAAGUAACGAUAAAGCGGGUGAAAAGCCCGCUCGCCGGAAGACCAAGGGUUCCUGUCCAACGUUAAUCGGGGCAGGGUGAGUCGACCCCUAAGGCGAGGCCGAAAGGCGUAGUCGAUGGGAAACAGGUUAAUAUUCCUGUACUUGGUGUUACUGCGAAGGGGGGACGGAGAAGGCUAUGUUGGCCGGGCGACGGUUGUCCCGGUUUAAGCGUGUAGGCUGGUUUUCCAGGCAAAUCCGGAAAAUCAAGGCCGAGGCGUGAUGACGAGGCACUACGGUGCUGAAGCAACAAAUGCCCUGCUUCCAGGAAAAGCCUCUAAGCAUCAGGUAACAUCAAAUCGUACCCCAAACCGACACAGGUGGUCAGGUAGAGAAUACCAAGGCGCUUGAGAGAACUCGGGUGAAGGAACUAGGCAAAAUGGUGCCGUAACUUCGGGAGAAGGCACGCUGAUACGUAGGUGAAGCGACUUGCUCGUGGAGCUGAAAUCAGUCGAAGAUACCAGCUGGCUGCAACUGUUUAUUAAAAACACAGCACUGUGCAAACACGAAAGUGGACGUAUACGGUGUGACGCCUGCCCGGUGCCGGAAGGUUAAUUGAUGGGGUUAGCGCAAGCGAAGCUCUUGAUCGAAGCCCCGGUAAACGGCGGCCGUAACUAUAACGGUCCUAAGGUAGCGAAAUUCCUUGUCGGGUAAGUUCCGACCUGCACGAAUGGCGUAAUGAUGGCCAGGCUGUCUCCACCCGAGACUCAGUGAAAUUGAACUCGCUGUGAAGAUGCAGUGUACCCGCGGCAAGACGGAAAGACCCCGUGAACCUUUACUAUAGCUUGACACUGAACAUUGAGCCUUGAUGUGUAGGAUAGGUGGGAGGCUUUGAAGUGUGGACGCCAGUCUGCAUGGAGCCGACCUUGAAAUACCACCCUUUAAUGUUUGAUGUUCUAACGUGGACCCGUGAUCCGGGUUGCGGACAGUGUCUGGUGGGUAGUUUGACUGGGGCGGUCUCCUCCUAAAGAGUAACGGAGGAGCACGAAGGUUGGCUAAUCCUGGUCGGACAUCAGGAGGUUAGUGCAAUGGCAUAAGCCAGCUUGACUGCGAGCGUGACGGCGCGAGCAGGUGCGAAAGCAGGUCAUAGUGAUCCGGUGGUUCUGAAUGGAAGGGCCAUCGCUCAACGGAUAAAAGGUACUCCGGGGAUAACAGGCUGAUACCGCCCAAGAGUUCAUAUCGACGGCGGUGUUUGGCACCUCGAUGUCGGCUCAUCACAUCCUGGGGCUGAAGUAGGUCCCAAGGGUAUGGCUGUUCGCCAUUUAAAGUGGUACGCGAGCUGGGUUUAGAACGUCGUGAGACAGUUCGGUCCCUAUCUGCCGUGGGCGCUGGAGAACUGAGGGGGGCUGCUC